rnacentral:lncRNA from 9 species
UUUAAUUUCCAUAGACUCUUUAAAUGUUUUAUGCAAAAGGGACGGUAAACGGUACUCAUUCCAAUACCUCAGCUUGAAAAAUAAGAGCCUGAGUCCAAAAUAGGUGCUUUCCUAUCAUUUACGCAGGUACUAGUUAGAAGAGGUAAGAUAAAAUUCCAGUUCUCUUGAUAAGAAUACCCAAGUCUAUUUUCACCCUACCAUGCUGCAGCACGAUGACUUUUUUCCUCAAUAUUUAAAAGCAGAAAUGAUUAAAUAACUAGAAAGAAAUAAAUAAAACAUGUGCAGUGGGCACUUUCACUAGCGCCUGAAAGCUUUAAAAAGGAAACAGGCAGACUCAGGUCUCUGUUUCCUCAUUGCUGAAAUAAUUUGUCUCUGAAAAUCGCCCACAUUAAUCAGAGCAACCAUCAUCACAUGUAAUAAAAUCCCAUUUUAAUGUGACAUGUUUCAGACCAAAUGAAUCCCCCCCAAAAAAUGCUUUUCAGAAUAACUAUGAAGGUACCCCAAUUAUAUGAUGCUCUUAAGGAGUUAAGCAACACACUGGUAGAGUUAUGAUAAUAAAGGGUAAGAGAGAAAGCAGGUAAUGAUCAGGCUAUGGUGAUGGAGCAAAGCAGUGUCUCAAAACAAGAUCAAGAGUCAGUGAGGCAGAGAGACAGGAGAGGUGGUUCUGGAUGUCGGGAGCCCACAAAUCCUGAGCACAGGUAAAGCCUACCUCUAUCUCGUGGUACCCACAGGAAAUACAGCUCCAAAUUGCUGCCUCUACAAGCUGGAGUACAUUCCUUAAGAUAUUAGGAGUAAAAAGUGUUAUAAUGAAAUGACUUCAUAUUUAUAGAGAUGUUGUUUCCAAGACACUGAAAGGAAAUAGCUUUUUGAGAAAUUCAAUUCAUAAUUUUAUUUUUUUCUGCUAUUUGGACAAACCGAAAUAAUGCCUUCCUGAAUUUUGUUUGUGAUGGGGUAAGUGUCACCCCAAGUGGUAUGCUAUUAGUAUUUUAUUUUUUUCUGAUCAGAGUUGCUAGUGAAGGCUGAAAUGAGUUCAUUGAGCAGUUAGUUAUUAGAUCAAUAUGAGUCUGUUUUUCAAAGCAAAAGUAUAAAAGUGUAUUUUGGAAGCCAAUUGUUGAAUGGUUUUGAUUUUCACAGAAUUUUGUAUGUAUUUCAUUUUUUGUUUUUUGUUUCAAAAGGGCAAACAACUUAAAAAGGAGUUCUAAAAUAAUUUUUGUUUUCUUAAAAGAGGGUUUCUAGGAGUUCUUGCCACACACAGUGUGUUAAGAAUCUGAGUGCAGUGGCAUGGGCUGCUGUGAAGGUAUGGAUUAGAUACCCAUCCAUGCGCCUUAGGUUAAAAGAUCCUGG